rnacentral:tRNA from 1 species
AGAGGUUUAGGAUAUAAUACUAGACCAAAAGCCUUCAAAGCUUUAAGCAGGAGUGAAARUCUCCUAAUCUCUG